GUUGCGAUAGUAAUCCUGCUUAGUACGAGAGGAACAGCAGUUUCAGACAUUUGGUUCAUGGACUUGACCGAUCGGUCAAUGGUCCGAAGCUACCAUCUGGGGAUUAUGAUUGAACGCCUCUAAGUCAGAAUCCCACCUAGUCAAGGCAGCGAUCACUUUGUUUCCCAGUGUCGGGAGGCUACUCUAUCUCGUGGCAACACGAGAGCUUAUACCCUAGUAAAUAACCUUGCCGGUAUGGAUAAUCCCUGCUGGUUGUCAAAGCCAGAUCACUCUGGUUCAAGGUCGGGGCGCAAAAUCACGUUUACGACAUGUAUACUGGUCAAGGUGUUGUAUCCAGUAGAGAAGUGUUUGUAUACUGCGAUCUGUUGAGACAAUCCUCUGAUCGGGUGUUUUGU
rnacentral:ncRNA from 1 species